UCAGUUUUCUUUCUUUAGAUUUACGUAGGUGUUUGCUUCUGAUUCGGGGCUGUGUGGAGCAAGAAGAAAUGAUCAAAUGAGAAUGACAGUAAAACCAUCUUAGAAAGUUGAGUGAGGCUGAAAUGUUGGUAAAAUGUGAUUUUCCUGAGAAAUGACAUGCGUAAUGAAAUGUUAUGUUGCAGUCAACGAGUCGGCAAGGACGAUUAGUGGUGUGAAGCGAGUGUCCGAAUCUUGGUAAAAGGGCUUGAAAGAAGGGAUUAUCUUGAUUGUUCCCUAUGGAGCCAUUUGUUUGCUUAGGUCUUAAUCUUGAUGUGCUGCUCUUUUUGUGCACAAAAUCUUUCGCAUUGGAUAGUGAUGUCUUGAGGUUCAGAGCGUACAACACCAUUGGAGUGAAGCCAACUCACAAAAGGCUGAACGAUAAUAUAUGCAAUCUUGCUGCCAAAAUGAAGAGGACCUUUAAACUGCUGGAUCAUCAAUUUCACAGGGGUUUAAUGAAAAUGCUGCAACUGUUGCUCAUCUUCAUCACUCUUCUCAUCUUGUCCUUUCUGCUUGUCAUCUACAAAGAACCCACCACCUCUGCAUCAGAUAGGUGGACCUUUCACACUCUAAUGGGGGCUUCUAUUCUAAGUCCAUAAUUCUCACACUCUGCUAGCUACCUCAAACACUUUCUCUCCUUUUUCAAAACAUUACACUAUGUAUGUCAUCACACCACCUGUUCAAGCUACUGCAUUAUUGCUGCAACAUGCCUACACUCAUAUCCAACAACUAUCUUGCCCAGCCAUUACAUUUUACAUUUUAAAGGGCAUGGUGAAAAAGUUAGGUUAUUAUUGUUUUCAUUGCUAUUUCCUACAUGCUCUUUUUUCUUGUUUGGCCUCGUUUCUUAUCUUCAAUCUAGCUUAAAGCACCUUUCUUCUUUCUUGUCUCUUUAAGUCUUCUUUAUUCAAGUUUAUUCAAGUUCUGCGAUGCAUAUAACACUCUGCCAAAGUGAUACUUUGUUCUAUCGUGACUAUAUAAGUUUCAUAUUUUCAAGCAUAGUCGCAACUUUUUUCACGCCUUGUUAGUAAUGCCACGCAUUAAUCAAGUACUAUUUUCCAUUUUCAGUUUGUAUCCUUAGGAUCAUUUCAUAUUCUUCGUAUCUUGCAAUCACAAAUUGUAUUUACAAUUUUAAGAUCCAUGAUUUUGGUGAAAAUGGUUUGUGAAACACAAAAUACAACAAAAUGGCUUCACUUUUUCGUUCUUAAUUUUUGUUUUUUUCUUGUCAAUUUUUAUCUGGAUAAUGGUGGAAAUAUUGUGACUACAAAGCAACAUCGUAAUCUUCUUUGAAGACCUCUCACAGAUCUAAAAGUCUUUGACUUUUAGAACAUAAUCUUGAUACCAAUUACUGGUUUUUUAUACAGAAAAUAUAUUUAAAGAAAGAUAUAUUAUUCUAGAGAAAUUCAUUUCCCUUUUAUUCAUAAAUUCCAUGCACAAAAUUAUAAACACUUAAGGAUGUGUUUUCAACAAACUUAAAGCAUUUGUCCUACACAGUUUUGUCAGGAAUUUAGCUCAAUUAAAACCUACAGAGGAAACAAAACAUUAUUGCGAUAGAAAUGGUUCUACGAUCCUGUUGAAAUUAGACUUGUUGAUACAUGAUUUAUCUAUUUCCCCCCAGAUAAGUCUACCAGUCUAAAGAACUAAAAUUAAAAUAUAAAAUGUGUAGAAAUUACUGCAUUUUCAGAAAACACAAGUUUUUUUAUACUUAGAAGUUAGAAACACUAGCUUUGAUUUGUGAAUAGCUAUAUUUAUCUGUAAUAGACAGAACAGAUCUGGUUUCCAGUUUUCUACUCUCCGCCAAAAUCUAAGUUGACUUUCAAAUUCUAGUAGCUGGCUUUCUCUUCUGUCAGUGUCAACGAAGACCAGAAUAUCAGUCUCCGGUUGCUUCAUACAUUUUUAUAGUUAAUAAAGAAAAAAACUAAACAUGCUGCAUGUUAUACUUAUUCAACAAGAAAGAUUCCAACUUUUUCAACACAAAUCAAGCGACCAAACCUUAAUUAAUAAUUAUUUUUUAAUAAGCUUUAACAGGUGCUAAAAAUCACUCUACCUGAACUCGUUUAAAUGUGCAUAGUCAAACAUUGGGGUAAUAAAUACACAAAUGGCCAUUUUUAAAAAAUUUAUGCAUUAUUAGAUCUGGUAGCUCUGUAGCAGGGGACUCAAAAGAAUAAAUAAAUAAAUGAUGGUGGUGCUGAAUUCAUAGAUGAUGAUUGAUUAUGUCAAAAUACCCUUGUAUAGGAAUUCAAAGUUGGCUAUAUUUUACAGCAGUAGGAACAAGGUGGAAUACUUUUCCACCAAUGUAAAUCACUAAUGGUGAGCUUUUACAACUCUAUGAAACUAUAGAGACUAUAUUAUAUAAAAAAAAAAAAAAAAGAGAGAGAGA